rnacentral:lncRNA from 1 species
CUAUCCAUGCCUACGUACCUAAUCUAUCGAGAUAGACAGACAAACAGACAGAUGGGUAGUUGUAUACAAACAGACAGACAGACAGGCAGACACAAGCAGGUGAUGUUGGGGUAACAAGAACACACAGACAACCACACAAUAACAGCACUGUUGGGGCACAUGGUGGAUUUGGAGUAACAUGAAAACAUGCACACACACACACACACACACACGCAGAGACACACACACACACAGAGUCUCACACACACACACACACACACACACAGAGUCUCACACACAUAUACACACACACAGAGUCUCACACACACAUACACACACACACACAGAGUCUCACACACCCUACCAACUCAUAGGGGGUCUAACAGCGGCUAACAGGCGUGCCUGUUAGGGAAUGUUAGCCUAACAGAUUCUCUAACAGUGAUGGGGCUGUCAGACGAUGUUUGGGCUGGCGGCAGGUGGAUCUGGCUGUUAACAACCAUGUUGAAGAAGUAGAACAGGAAUUGGUGCUGUUAGCCGUUGUUAAGGCUUGUCAGAUGUUUUCAGACUGUAUUUUAGCUCUGUCUCACGUUGUUGAUGGAUAAUGUCGUUUAGAACAAACAUUCUUGAACGGUUUGUAACGAAAUGUCCUGCNNNNNNNNNNNNNNNNNNNNNNNNNNNNNNNNNNNNNNNNNNNNNNNNNNAAGCAACAAUAACGACAAGCGCCAGACCGACCAGACGAUCACAAUGUUAACAGUAUCGAACAAGGCAUGACAGUAAAAAAAAGGAUGCAACCGUGUGACACAACCACAAUUUACAUCGCAAACAGCAAAUAGACAUAUCAAGGUGCGAAUAGUGUGGAUACAGAACCCACCCUUCUUCGCUCCCUUGCCGCCCUUGCCACCAAAGCGGGGUCCCUCGUCCGCGUCGUCGUCACCAAACAGCUCCUCCUGCGGGGUGGGGACACGGGGCAGUGAGGUCAGGCAGGUCACGGUCAAGGAAGUCAGAGGUCAGGGGACAGGCCAGCGAUUCACCCCACAUACCUAUCAUGCAAACCCCCGACCCUCCCUUCCCUCCCCUAAUGCACCUCCCAAACCUGCCCCUUCGUCCCACAACAACCCUCCGUACCUUCUCCCCCAGCGUCAUCCCAUACGCCGCACCCAAACCAGUCCAGGAGAAAAGACAUGUGAUAGGAACAGGCGGAGGGCACAUGUGCCCUUUCAGCACUACCACAAGCUAAAUGCGGAAAGGGCACAAGGGGUUGUUCCCGACAUUCCUGCGUUCCACACCACCACCUUCCCCAGAACUGUCACCCCCACAUAUCUCGAGCCCAGGGCCGCGUGCACACUCCACCCACAGCCCCCUCCGCGAACCCCCCUCUUCCGUCCGCCUGAUCAGUACCCUUGCCCGUGCCCAAGCCAGAGCCAAGAAGCUCCGGGCUGUUCCCCCAACCCCCAACUGUCGGAGCCCCUGCGGGGCCCCACCCGACAUCACCCACCUCCAGCUCGUCCUCGUCGACGAAGCGUUUCAGUCGGCCUCCACCCCGACCUCCCAGCUCGUCAUCCACCGCCCCAGCCAGCGGCAGCAGCCGCCCGGCCGCCACCUGCUCCUGCCGCUCCCGGGCCUCCUCCUCCUGAGGGGUUGGGGGGUGGGGUUGGGUAGGGUGGGGGUCAUCGCCGCAUGGGCCCACACGCGCGGCUGGCCGCCGAAACGUUGCGAUGGAGUUGUAGCUGAGACGUCGACAGGCAGUAGCAGGAGCAGUUGUAAUAGCAGUCAACCCCCCCCAGCCCGCCACGCCAGGCUAAGCCCCCCCUACCUGUCUCUGCUUCUCCAGCCGUUGUGACUUAGGCACCAGCCUCAGCGCGAAGGGGUCCAGUGGAGCCCCACCUUUGCUGGCCGCGUUGANNNNNNNNNNNNNNNNNNNNNNNNNNNNNNNNNNNNNNNNNNNNNNNNNNCUGGCCACCCACACAUACACAUGCUCAUAUGCUCAUGCAGUGCUGCCAUCAUAUGUGCACAUCGCAGCUACAGGGCAAAGGACUACAGUCUGUAGCUGACUAAAUGUCUCAACAUCAUCAUCACAAUCACCCGCAGCAGCAGCAGUGCUUCAGACUAACAUUUCUCAUACUACACACAGGCCCCUCCUCCCUGUGAAGCAAUGUCUGGGCAGCAUCGUGUCCUCUUCCUGCGCUGUGCUGCCACCGAUAGUACUGGAUCCUUGAUACCAGAAAGAAGGCUGCUGGCCCCUGCUGCACAGGAGCCAGGCUGCUGUGUAGCCCACACUCCCAUCCGGAUGGAUCCAUGCCUCGGUGUGGCCAUGCCAGUUAAAUUCAGCGCGUGUUCCUAACUGUCUGCUAGCUGUGUUCAUCAACUUCCUCCCAACGACCUACCACGAAUUGUUUUUCAACAGUCAGGCAACUGUUUGGCCAACUGUCUCCGAUCUGUCAGCCAACUGCCUCUGAACUGUGUAUUGACUUGACUUUUUGCCAACUGCCAACCCACCUAUAUAUAUAUAUAUAUAUUACUAGUGUCCUGACCACCAACAAUAAUGUGUGUGCCUGCGGUAACUACAUUUUUUUUACUAAGUGCCCAUAAAGUGUCUGCCACCACAUCAUCUGCCUGAUUGCCUGCUAACUGCCCACCAACUGCCUUCCAACUGUCUCACAACUGACUAACAACCGACGUACUGAUUUUAACUGUCCCAUCAACCAUGUGGCUUGAAACCGACUGACUGUCCACCUGUCAUGUCAGCAACUGCCUGCCCAACUGUCUGUCCACAGCCUGCUCAACUGUGUGCCAACGGUUGUGGGGUCAACUGUCUGCCAAAUGCCUACAACUGUCUGAUAACUGUCUUAAUAACUGCGUACCAAACAGUUGUGUGCCAACUGUCUGCCAACGGUUGUGGGUCAACUGUCUGCUAACUGUCCACCAACUGUCCUAAUAACUGUGUACCAAACAGUUGUGUGCCAACUGUUUGCCAACGGUCUACCUAUUUACCUACAUCUAUCUGCAUCUAACUAUCCAUGCCUACGUACCUAAUCUAUCGAGAUAGACAGACAAACAGACAGAUGGGUAGUUGUAUACAAACAGACAGACAGACAGGCAGACACAAGCAGGUGAUGUUGGGGUAACAAGAACACACAGACAACCACACAAUAACAGCACUGUUGGGGCACAUGGUGGAUUUGGAGUAACAUGAAAACAUGCACACACACACACACACGCAGAGACACACACACACACAGAGUCUCACACACACACACACACACACACAGAGUCUCACACACAUAUACACACACACACACACACAGAGUCUCACACACACAUACACACACACACACACAGAGAGAGAGACACACACACAUACACACACACAGUCUCACGCACACACACACACACACACACAGUCUCACACACACAGAGAGAGACACACACACANNN